rnacentral:rRNA from 1 species
UACGUAGGUCCCGAGCGUUGUCCGGAUUUAUUGGGCGUAAAGCGAGCACAGGUGGUUUAUUAAGUCUGGUGUAAAAGGCAGUGGCUCAACCAUUGUAUGCAUUGGAAACUGGUAGACUUGAGUGCAGGAGAGGAGAGUGGAAUUCCAUGUGUAGCGGUGAAAUGCGUAGAUAUAUGGAGAAACACCGGUGGCGAAAGCGGCUCUCUGGCCUGUAACUGACACUGAGGCUCGAAAGCGUGGGGAGCAAACAGG